GAUGAACGCUGGCGGCGUGCCUAAUACAUGCAAGUCGAGCGAAGCGGGGACGGGUGAGUAACACGUGGAUAACCUCCUAUAAGACUGGAAUAACUUCGGGAAACCGGACCUAACCCGGUUACUUCUAGAUGGGUCCUAGCUGCAUUAGCUAGUUGGUAAGGUAACGGCUUACCAAGCCAACGAUGCAUAGCCGACCUGAGAGGGUGAUCGGCCACACUGGAACGGAGACACGGCCCAGACUCCUACGGGAGGCAGCAGUAGGGAAUCUUCCACAAUGGGCGAAAGCCUGAUGGAGCAACGCCGCGUGAGUGAUGAAGGUCUUCGGAUCGUAAAACUCUGUUAUUCGGGAAGCGGUACCUAAUCAGAAAGCCACGGCUAACUACGUGCCAGCAGCCGCGGUAAUUC
rnacentral:rRNA from 1 species